rnacentral:rRNA from 1 species
UACGUAGGGAGCAAGCGUUGUCCGGAAUCAUUGGGCGUAAAGCGCGCGUAGGUGGCUUCGUAAGUCCGUUGUGAAAGUCAAAGGCUCAACCUUUGAAAGCCGAUGGAUACUGUGAAGCUAGAGUACGGAAGAGGCGAGUGGAAUUCCUGGUGUAGCGGUGGAAUGCGCAGAUAUCAGGAGGAACACCAAUAGCGAAGGCAGCUCGCUGGGACGGUACUGACGCUGAGACGCGAAAGCUAGGGGAGCGAACAGG